rnacentral:rRNA from 1 species
UGGGGAAUUUUGCGCAAUGGGCGAAAGCCUGACGCAGCAACGCCGCGUGAGCGAUGAAGGCCUUCGGGUCGUAAAGCUCUGUCCUCAAGGAAGAUAAUGACGGUACUUGAGGAGGAAGCCCCGGCUAACUACGUGCCAGCAGCCGCGGUAAUACGUAGGGGGCUAGCGUUAUCCGGAAUUACUGGGCGUAAAGGGUGCGUAGGUGGUUUCUUAAGUCAGAGGUGAAAGGCUACGGCUCAACCGUAGUAAGCCUUUGAAACUGAGAAACUUGAGUACAGGAGAGGAGAGUAGAAUUCCUAGUGUAGCGGUGAAAUGCGUAGAUAUUAGGAGGAAUACCAGUUGCGAAGGCGGCUCUCUGGACUGUAACUGACACUGAGGCACGAAAGCGUGGGGAGCAAACA